rnacentral:rRNA from 1 species
CUACGGGGUGCAGCAGUGGGGAAUAUUGGACAAUGGAGGAAACCCUGAUCCAGCAAUGCCGCGUGUGUGAAGAAGGCCUGCGGGUUGUAAAGCACUUUCGGUUGGGAGGACUGCUUCUAGCACUAAUAUUGUUGGAAGUUGACGUUACCUUCAGAAGAAGCACCGGCUAACUCCGUGCCAGCAGCCGCGGUAAUACGGGGGGUGCAAGCGUUAAUCGGAAUUACUGGGCGUAAAGCGCGCGUAGGCGGCUAGAUCAGUCGGGUGUGAAAGCCCCGGGCUUAACCUGGGAACUGCAUCCGAUACUGUCUAGCUUGAGUACAGGAGAGGAGAGUGGAAUUCCACAUGUAGCGGUGAAAUGCGUAGAUAUGUGGAGGAACACCAAUGGCGAAGGCAGCUCUCUGGCCUGAGACUGACGCUGAGGUGCGAAAGCGUGGGGAGCAAACAGGAUUAGAUACCCUCGUAGUC